rnacentral:rRNA from 1 species
GACGAACGCUGGCGGCGUGCUUAACACAUGCAAGUCGAACGGAAAGGCCCUGCUUUUGUGUGGUGCUCGAGUGGCGAACGGGUGAGUAACACGUGAGUAACCUGCCCUUGACUUUGGGAUAACUUCAGGAAACUGGGGCUAAUACCGGAUAGGAGCUCCUGCUGCAUGGUGGGGGUUGGAAAGUGUCGGCGGUUGGGGAUGGACUCGCGGCUUAUCAGCUUGUGGGUGGGGUAGUGGCUUACCAAGGCUUUGACGGGUAGCCGGCCUGAGAGGGUGACCGGCCACAUUGGGCCUGAGAUACGGCCCAGAGUCCAACGGGGGGCAGCAGGGGGGAAUAUUGCACAAUGGGCGGAAGCCUAAUGCAGCAACGCCGCGUGCGGGAUGACGGCCUUCGGGUUGUAAACCGCUUUCGCCUGUGACGAAGCGUGAGUGACGGUAAUGGGUAAAGAAGCACCGGCUAACUACGUG